GUGCUCGCUUUGGCAGCACAUACACUAAAAUUGGAAUGACACAGAGAAGAUUAACACGGCACCUGUGCAAGGGUGACAGGUAAAUGUUUGGUAGAUUCACCUGUGAG
ensembl:snRNA U6 U6 spliceosomal RNA